rnacentral:rRNA from 1 species
AUUGAACGCUGGCGGCAGGCCUAACACAUGCAAGUCGAGCGGAUGAAGGGAGCUUGCUCCUGGAUUCAGCGGCGGACGGGUGAGUAAUGCCUAUGAAUCUGCCUGGUAGUGGGGGAUAACGUCCGUAAACGGGCGCUAAUACCGCAUACGUCCUGAUGGAGAAAGUGGUGGAUCUUCGGACCUCACGCUAUCAGCUGAGCCUAGGUCGGAUUAGCUAGUUGGUGGGGUAAAGGCCUACCAAGGCGACGAUCCGUAACUGGUCUGAGAGGAUGAUCAGUCACACUGGAACGGAGACACGGUCAAGACUACUACGGGAGGCAGCAGUGGGGAAUAUUGGACAAUGGGCGAAAGCAUGAUCCAGCAAUGCCGCGUGUGUGAAGAAGGUCUUCGGAUUGUAAAGCACUUUAAGUUGGGAGGAAGGGAAGUAAGUUAAUAACUUGCUGUUUUGACGGUACCAACAGAAUAAGCACCGGCUAACUUCGUG